rnacentral:rRNA from 1 species
GGGGAAUCUUGGACAAUGGGCGCAAGCCUGAUCCAGCCAUGCCGCGUGAGUGAAGAAGGCCUUAGGGUUGUAAAACUCUUUCGCCGGUGAAGAUAAUGACGGUAACCGGAGAAGAAGCCCCGGCUAACUUCGUGCCAGCAGCCGCGGUAAUACGAAGGGGGCUAGCGUUGUUCGGAAUUACUGGGCGUAAAGCGCACGUAGGCGGGUUUGUAAGUAGGGGGUGAAAUCCCAGGGCUCAACCCUGGAACUGCCUUCUAGACUGCAAGCCUGGAGGUCAGGAGAGGCGAGUGGAAUACCGAGUGUAGAGGUGAAAUUCGUAGAUAUUCGGUGGAACACCAGUGGCGAAGGCGACUCGCUGGACUGAUACUGACGCUGAGGUGCGAAAGCGUGGGGAGCAAAC